rnacentral:rRNA from 1 species
AACGUAGGUGGCAAGCGUUGUCCGGAAUUAUUGGGCGUAAAGAGCGCGCAGGCGGUAUGACAAGUCAGAUGUGAAAGAGGCCGGCUUAACCGGCAAGGGUCAUUUGAAACUGUCAGACUAGAGUGCAGCAGAGGAUAGUGGAAUUCCCGGUGUAGUGGUGAAAUGCGUAGAUAUCGGGAGGAACACCAGUGGCGAAGGCGACUAUCUGGGCUGCAACUGACGCUGAGGCGCGAAGGCUAGGGUAGCAAACAGG